GAGAGAUGUGAUUUAACUUCUCUCCUACCAAUUUUGAAAGUUACUUGGCCUAAGCUCCUAUUUUAUACUGAACACCUAAUUAACAUUUCAUUUAACUAGUGUAGUGUAAAAUCCACACAGGGAGAUAGCAGUUAAAGUAAUCCAAUAAAUACUUUGGGUUCAGUUUAUAAAUCCUGCAUAAUUGAGUACUCCCUUGACCCAUCCCAUAAGCCUCCAAGCAGAGCUUUAGCCUGGGGAGGAAUAGGCUUGAAGACCCUGGUGAGGCCUCCCAUUUGUACCAAAGGAUGGUUUUCCUGUAUGAAGUGAGAGAUGGGGCUGCCUGCUCGGUCACGGUCAUCCCCAGUAUUCAUGACUGGUUUCUCACAGCCACUGUCUCCUGGCCAGUGUCAGCCUUUCUGGACAGCCUGACUUCACGGGAGAAACAGUUACCUUCCCCUCCAACUGGUACCCCCAGAGAUGUACCCCCCUCCUGUGACCUCUGCAGAGGGUUGGGCCAUGCAAGUGUGGGGAUCAGCACCACCCUAAUCUAGUUCUGGACAUCAUUUUUUUAUGUAGGAAACCAGUACUGUUCUUAAUCUCUAACUUUUUUUUCUUUGUCUGAAAGCUGAUGGAAGUCCUGAGGACUGAUGCACCCCGUAGAAGGUGCCUGCCCAGGCUCUUAUGAUUAAAUAAAUCCCUUGUCUCCCAAGCCCAGAGAACCAUCAGCUUAUUCAGCCCCUAGUUAGGCCUGACUUCCUUCUAACCACAGGACUUCAGGAUAUGUUUAAUCAUAUUUUCUUACAAAUUUUGUUUUUCUAUGGUUUCAUUUCCAGUAAAGUACUACUACGUUUGACCCCAUCACAACAAAUAAAAAAUAUUUGUGGUAAUUAAAGGUCAGUUGGCCUUUGUGAGUCAUUGGAAUCCUAACCACUUAGAGCUUUCGUUGCUAUGGCAACAGAGUCCUCCAGACAAUUGACUUAAAAGCUAUGUAUUUUAACAUCCUGUUUGUACAUUGAAGGUUUUUUUAAAUGGGUGAUUAUCCUCUUUCUUUUCUCUAUUUUCUGUAGUUUAUAUAUUUACAAUUAGAUUAAAAUGGAGAGAUUUACACAAUCUUGUCAGAUCUGGCUCUGAAUAUGAAAUGCACUGGUCAGCCAUUAGAGCCAGCACCCAUGGGGGCAUUUGUCAACAUAACUUGGCUGUGCUUGAGGCUUGUGGCCCUUUAUCUUGCUUGAUUUUUACGCCACCCUCCGCCAGCUUUGUAUCUCUAGGUUUGUAUCUCCUCAGUGCGGGUUUGAAAACGGAAGGAGCCCAAGGGUGGCGUCAGUGCCCGGAGAUCACACCACUGGAAACCGGGACCCCCAUCGCCGACCGCAUGGCCCAGCUCCACAGCUGUGUUUCAUCUACCAGUUUUGAAAGCUAAGAUUUCCUCCUUUUUUUUUCCUGUUCUAAAAUUAAUUUUCUUGAGACAUAAUUCACAUGGAAUCUAAUUCAUCCACUUUAAAGUGUACAAUGUAACGGCUUUUGUAUAUUUACAAAGUUGUCCAUAAUUUUAGAAUUGAGAACAUUUUCAUUACCCUCCAAAAAUAAGCCCCAUCACAGACCAUUGGUAGCCACCACACACAGGCCCCACAGCUGCUCCCUGCUCCUUGGUGGUAAACCUAGAUGUGGACUGACCGUUCCCUACCUCAAAGGCACACUUCGACCUUUAGUGACAAAACAUGCACCUUCCCAAGAGGAACAGUUUCCCAGUAAUUAAGAAUAACCUAAAUUCAGGAUCAAGCAUUUGGAAACACUGAACUGCAAAUAGCACAACCCCAUAAAAACAAAAAGGGGGCUGCAUUAUGUCCUGGGGCAAGCAGUCAGGGGGAGAAGGUGGGAAGAGCUUCAGCAGCUACAGAGCGACUGCCUAUACCUCCCUUCUUGGUGCAUGCCACAGAAAGAGACCAUCAGAAGGAAAAAAUUUUUCCUAAGGUGUCCCAGCCCCUGUACCCAGGCCUGGUUGCCGAACACAGUCCUGGCAAGUUCGCAUCUUUUCUUUGUCACCAUGGGGGUGAUUCAAGAUCAAAGCCAGGUUUCCACUAGAAAGGAAGGGGGUGAAUGUGGGGUACACAACCUACCACCUUGGUUCUGUGCCUUUAAGUGAAGCUUCUAGGUCGGAAGCUAUUCCCUGGACUGAUAGAUGAGGAAAGAGCUGGCUCUCAACCUGGGCUGCCCUUAGGCAUCUCCUGGGGCAUCUGUCAAAACCCCCAGGCCCCUGGGGAGUCAUUCCCAGCAGGUGGGCCCCACUGCAGGGCUGGUCUCAGCUUUCUCGGGCAAUCCAGGCUGGGAACUGCAUUCGUGAGGCCCAUCUACUGCUACUCUUCAGUGACUUAGUUCAGCAAGCAAAUUAAAUGGGCUCCUGCCAGCCUCCUGCCGAUCAGCUGACACUCCGACCUACGUGGACGUUGGAGACCAGUGAGUAUUAUCUGGGAAUCAGCUCAAUUCAUGUGUCACUUUGCUGCCAUGACGGGGUAGAGCCCUCACUGCUAAAAUAAAAGCAUUUCUCACUCGCUGGCAGGGGACAUCCUGGGAAGCAGACCAGCCUGGGAUGGCCUGACCUUUCUGGCAGCCUGCCCCUUUGCCAGCACCUGCAUCCUCUCAGGCACCCUCACAGCACUCCAAAGUUGUUGACAUUAUCAAAGUUUUGCAGCUGCAAUUUUUCUCUCAUCAGCCCUCAAAAACCUAUUCCUCAACUACACUGUAGCUUUAUUACCUCUUACCUUUGAUAGGUGUUUUGAAGUUGCUAUCAAAACCCAGUGACUGGUUCCAGAAAGAAACUUUAAUUACUAAGUAUCUUAAAGUAAAUGCCUUUUACAAUGAAGAAAACCCAGUUAAUUUUGAUGGGCCAUGCGUAGUUCUCAGAAGAGUCAUUUCUGGAAAUUUAAUGAUACAUUGUCUUGAAAACAUAAAGACUAGUGGAACCUAUUGAUUCUGCUCCAGAAUCCCCUUGUGGCAAAAGAUGGGCCUGAAUUCCUUGUGGAAAAGAAGCCUGGGACUGGGCAGGAAUGCUAAGCUGGGAAGGCUGCAUAAACAAUGUUCUAGAAAGAAAUCAGGCUUCCACUUUGGUAUAUGUGGCUGCUAUGAGCAAAACUCAGGAGUCACCUAGUAUGAUCUGUGGUCCUUGGGCCCUGUAGGGUAAACAAUCAUCAGGCUUUGCCCUCCCACCAUCAGGAUUGACGAUGGAUCCCUGAAGUCCUGAAUGUAUGCCUGAUGGCAGGCACCUGGAGUAGGGUGUUGGCAUACAUAGGUGGGUUCACCUGGGCUGAGACGGGGCUUAUAUGGGCCGUGUUGCCACGAAACGGAACUACCAGAAGAAAAAGAGAGAGAGAAGUAGAGCCCAGAAAGAGUAAAGACUCGCGGGGGCUGGGAGGCCUGCCAGCCUCCCAGCUCCCCGGCAAACCUGCCUGCUGUGAAACCUGGUAAACUCAAUAAAAGCCUGAAAAAGCCACAAAGGCCUCCAGGACUCUCCAAGAUCCUGCUCUAUGCCAUCCAGCUGCUUCAGGCCCAUAACCUAGUACCUUAAAGGGAAAGAGUCUUUUGAAACCAAGUCUUACUGUCUUGCAGCAGAAUUUUAAAAAGGCUUCCAAGCACCACAGGUCAGUGCCAGGGUCAAAGAGUCCUCAUUCCAAUGGCCAGACCUUCCAUUAGAAUCCUUCGAAAGGCUGCCAGCCACACAGAAAGGAAAUACGGAAAGAGUCCCAGCCAUUCCACUUCUCUGACCCCUUGAGUCAGUCUCAAUUUCUCAAGUUCAGGCACUGCUUACCAGUGAUCCUUGACCCAACUUCGUCUCCCCUAUAAUGAAAGGCAGGACCCCACGGGACCCCCUGGCACAGGCGAGCCAGGCUUUCCAGAAUCACUGACACAGAAAAUUUUCCUCGCCAUGAACUCUGCCAGACAUUUCUUAUAUUUAUCCACGCUAAUCUGUACUUCAGGGCAAUUCUGGACAAGAUUUGUGGGUAAUGAUUUAGCAGUAACUAUCUGGCAAGUUCUGAACUUCUUUUUGUACUCACUAACAAUCAACUGGGUAAAAAUUCUUUAAAGUGAAAUUGAUGUAAUUUGGCUGGUCCAGUGCCUUAUUUAACACCAUUGAAAUGUCAAACGUUUCCUCCCUGGGGAAAUAAUGACAGUCCUCUCCUGGAUCUUAUAACUGCUCCUUCGGAUGUCCCUGUACUUGGUCUUGGUUCUGAGAGGCCGGCACAGACCACUGGCCAGAAUCACCGAGGCUCCAGCAACAUCCAUUCCUCUGCAUUCUACUGUUUCUGUGUGCCAUAUUUUGCCCUGAAAACUGGCAUUUGUUCUGCUUUGGAUUUAAACAAAACCUACAACUAGAAAAUCUUGUUACUGCCGCAGUGGCUCAUUAAAUGUGCCCCCCCCCCCAACUCCCCAUGCCAGCCCCUGAGCAUCCUCUGGGAAUGUGUCAGCCAUGCCCAUUCCCAGGCCCUGCCAGCACCACUGAAUCAGCAGAAGGGACCCAGCACCCUCCAUGGUAUUCUGAUCUCAGAUGUGACAGCCGGGGCUUUUGUGUGUCACCUUGAUUGUCCAAUAGUCUGGGAGGUCAGCCUAGUCUGAACAUAAGCCACCCCUAGGGCUUGGAUUGACGUGCACAUUCCCAGGGCUCUUUUUAGAUGCUGACACAGUAUAUAUGGGGGGGAGGGGUUAUGUUUUUAAUCAACUCUGCAGUUUAUUAUUUUAUAUAUUACUUUGCAGGAAAACACUGGAGAGAAAACUGAGAUAGCUGGAAGAUAUCUCCCACUGAGUCACUGCAGCCUGGGUCAGUCCUAAGCAGGAGACGGGAGCCGCUCACCCCCGCGUGUCCUUCCUCCUGCAGCAGCUGGCUUCUGCACUGUCACCGCACCCAAAAAUCCAGGCACUAGUUGCAAGUACUUAAGUGCUCAGAAAACAUCCCAUCCCAAUGGGAAGUCACGGCUAAUCGGAGGGAGCUGUUGUGGGCCUGGCCUGCUGCCAAGUGGCUUCUUCCUCUCGAAUGCUCUGCCCCUUCCUCCACAUGGAAGCCAUUUCAAGGGUGAAUAGGUUUUCUCCUGGUGCAGAGAAGGAUAACACCACAGCUGUGCUUGCCCUGUUGGGGGGACCAGGCACCCGUGCAUUUCCUGGACAAGCAGUGAUGGCACCUUGCAUGAGCAGAAGGCAGUGAGAGACGUGGGGGACGUGGUGUGUAUUUGAAAGUUACACCUCUGCCUCAAGGCCUCUGGCCUUAAAAGCAUAGAGCUAAGGGCACAUAGGGGCCAGGGGAGAAGAAACCAGCCCAAGGGUGAGAAGGUAUGCCAUCAACAGUCAAAAGACCUGCCAAACUGAAAAACUAUUUGUAUAACCAAAGGCCUGCUUUCUUUAAUAUGAGAAGAGCUGCGUGGGAUCAAUAAGGAAAAGACUGACAGGUGAAUAGCAAAAUGGGCAAGGCAGGCAACAGACAACCUCCAGGACAAAAAAACAAAAAACAGUAAUGGCUCCUACAUCUAUAAGAAGGAGCUCAGCCUCACUUGGGAAAAGAGAAAGAGAAGUUGAAACUACCUGUGACUUAGCUAUCAGACUGGCCAGGGAUGGGGGAACUUAACAUUUACUGUGUACACUUAAGUCUUACGUCCCUUGCAAAUUUUAUACCGGCUGCAUAUUUUGCCUUUUCAAAAGUAAUGUUUCAAAUGCAAGCAGGCAGACAGCUCCUAAGCAAAGAGGUCUAAAAUGGACAUAGACAGAUGUUGCUUCCUACCCGGCAGGCAGCUCUCUGACCUGCUCAUUCAUGCAUCUGCACCUACUCUGUGAGCAGCUACUGAGCCUGGUGACGCUUUGGGCACUAGGGAGACCUCUGUAAAGGAAAUAGAGCCCCUGCUCUCAGCCCUUGGAUUCUGGCAGCAGGAGACAGCCAAUAACCACAUCCACACAUGGUGUGAAGGGGAUGAUGGAGGCAAAGUGAUGGGCAGGGAGACAGGGCACUGGUAGGAAGAGGA